rnacentral:misc_RNA from 1 species
AAAUGGAAAACAUGUUUUAACGAUUUUCUCCUACAAAACCUAACACGCUACUGUGAAGCCACUGCCGCCGUUUCCCUUAACCAUUUCCUUUCUCCAUUUUGAAGCCAUGAUCGUCGUUGUCGCCAUCGCUUACGGGCUGUGAUAUUAUUAAUUUCUAGUUCAGUUCAUACUUCAAUCUUGCACGGCUGUUGUAAGUAAAUGUCAAGAGAGAUGCAUCAAGUGGUAGAAGAGGAAGAUGAGGAACGUCGUCGUCAAAGGAAGAUGGAAGAGGUUCUUGAAGUCAAAUCCCUUAGACGUAUUAUCAGUGCCUAUCUCAACUAUCCAGAUGCUGCAGAAGAGGAUGUAAAAAGAUAUGAAAGAUCUUUCAAAAAGCUUCCGCCUGCACACAAGGCUUUACUAUCCCACUAUCCUUCGAAGUUUCAGAGACUGAGAAGGUGUAUUUCUAUGAACUCUCACUUUAUAUAUAACAUGCUUGAGGCAUUUGAACCUCCCCUGGAUAUGAGCCAAGACAUGGAUGGUUGUGAGGACUCACACCAUGAACAUGCCCUGAAUGAUCAUCUCUUCUCUAGUGAGGGGAAUUGCUGCCCCAGUCAGUCUGCCUCAACGACUGGAAUGUGUUGUUCCAAACCUGGUGGAGCCUGUUGUGGACAAGGGAACAAUACAAUAUGCAGGUCAUCAGAUAGGGUGACUACUGAUGAGGAGGUGCAAAUUGAAGGUUGCUGUGAGCCUGCUACUGGGAGCCAUCUGGCAAACUUGCAAAAUAGCCAAUCAACAGUUGAACUUGCCAAAAUAUGUUGCUCUGAUUCCAAUGGAAAUGUUGCCUUGUCGCAUCAUGAUUGCCUGGAUCCAUUAGUCCGGUUUAAUGUUCCCUUGGUUGAUGUUGAUAAGGGUCAGAUAUGAUUGACAUGGCUGCUCAACCUGAUGUUAUUAUGUUUUGGUGCCAUACUUGCAAAUUUGGGUUCAGAAAAAUUGACAAAAAUAGGGGAGAAAUGUGCAUUUGGCUGAUGAAGAUAUUUAACAAAAAAUACUAAUGCAUUGCCAUUAUUUUUGUAUGCUAACAUGGAGCCAUCAACAAAACUAAGCCUUUAAGGCUUAAGCCCAACAUUUCAUAGCAGCAAUAGUCUUAAUAUUAAUACACUUUAUUACAGCAUUUCUGUGUUCUGUCCCAACUCAUAACAUUUGACCAUCAUUUAUGAUAUUAAUGCCCCUAUUAUGAUUUAUGUCUAGUGAUGUACCAUGUUCCUGUUCCAUGUGCCAGGAUAAUAUGUUGAAUGCUCAAACUUAGGCUUUUUAGGAAAUUCACCCAUCCCAGGAAGAGGAAAAGAGAUCCUUAAUUGGACAUUUUGCUCACUUAUGUUGUUAAUUAGUCAACAGCUCUAGGUAAUCACAUUUAGGAGGGUUGGUUCAAGCUUCAAACUAUACAAACAAAAAGUACCAUGGAGUUGCAAGCCAUUGGAUAUGCUAGCUUUCUUGUCAUGUGUGUUCCACAUGUAUUUUUUGUGACUUUAUAACUCAUGAAUAUAUAAAUUUUUAUAAUAAAAUAAUUUUUUGUAUUUAGAUUAUACUUAUUAAUGUAAAAUGUAGAUAUAUAAAUAGUAGAAUUAUCAAUUAUAGGGUCAGAAGAAAUUUUAUAAUGAAAACAUUAAAUACAAAUCAAAUUUAUAAGAUUUAUCAAGUUUAUGGUCUAACAUGAAUCAUUAUUUUGAUUAUAUAACUUUCUCAAUAAAUUAGAUUAAUUUAUUAACAAAACAAAAUUUAAGAAAUUAAUAUUGAUAAUGCUCUUAACUGAAGAAGUAAAAAACUAUAAAGAAAAAUAAUCUACAAAGGUUUCACAAGGGAAAAAAAGGCCAAAACUGAAAUCACAAAAUAAAUGAGUCAUAUAUUUAGUUAUAAUUUAUCACUUUGUUGGUGUUAAAAUAAAUUUCUUUGUACAAAAGUUGUAUAAUGUAUCACUUUUCAAUUUAGAAAAAUGAUAACAUUAUCAUUUUCAAAGAAAUUGGAUGUUGUAUGAUAGUGAAGUACAUGUUUUAAAAAAUGAAAGUAAACAAUGAGCAAUAAUAGCUAUAUAAAAAUAUCAAUUUUUUUUUUAAAUUAAUAAUGGUAAUGUAUCUGGCAGGUUUCGGGUAUCAAUUUUUUAAAAUAAACUUUUAGAGUUUCUGUGAACCUAUUAUUUUGUAAUCAACAAACAACAAAAAUUAUAUUAAUUGUUAUCAAAUUAUGCAGUAUAAAAU